GUGCACCAGUCGCGAAACCUCCGCAAUACACGAAAGUGUGACGGGGCCAUCCCGAGUGCCGUCCGCUGAGGACGGCUUUUCCCCAGUGUACAUAGCUGGGGGAAUAAGGAGAGGGCAAGCCUGGUGUCAGCCGCCGCGGUAAUACCAGCUCUCCGAGUGGUGGGGACGCUUAUUGGGCCUAAAGCAUCCGUAGCCGGCUAGGCAAGUCCUCCGUUAAAUCCAACGAUUCAAUCGUUGGGCUGCGGGGGAUACUGUCCAGCUUGGGGGCGGGAGAGGCCGACGGUAUUCCCGGGGUAGGGUGAAAUCCUAUAAUCCCGGGAGGACCACCAGUGGCGAAGGCUGUCGGCUAGAACGCGCCCGACGGUGAGGGAUGAAAGCUGGGGGAGCGAACCGGAUUAGAUACCCGGGUA
rnacentral:rRNA from 1 species